ensembl:lncRNA
GUUAGUUUUUCUGAUGAGAAGACUCUUAAAAAGUCUUGCAUGUGUCUUUUCGCUGCUGCUGAUUACAGGGCUGAUGCUAUAUGCUCAAAGGGGCUGGGAUGUUUCCAGGCACGGUGAGUUCCUGCACGCUCAAGGGAACAUGCUGAAGAAAGCUGGCAGUGAGGUAGGACAGUUCCUUUCUCUCCGCUUUUCUGUAUGACUGGAUAAAUACAAACAAGAACCAAGUGAGCGAAUUAUUCUGGCCUAAUUUGGACAAGCACUUUAAGCAGUAACAGGUUCUCUAUGAAGUCAGUCAAAACCUGCAUGCUUGACAUCUUUAUGUUGUGUUGCCAAGAUCUUAUCCGAUUUCUGAACACGUAAGAACUCCGCUGCUGGGUCGGUCUCUUUUCUGUUCUCCUCCCCCUAGAGUAUACUUUUAGGGCUGUGGGGCUACUUCAUUCAAAGUUAGAGUUCAAGAUCACAAGUAAUAAGGCCCAAGUUUUGAAUCCUCAACUCUUGCAGGUUCAAAAUUUAUCAGAGGCAACAGGCAUGGUGUAGGACUGACAAUUGCGCUUUCCACAUAAAACAAGGCAAAAGCCUUGUAGUAGGCAGAGAUAAAAAGCAGUUCCUCAAAGACCAGAAGAUAAUGAAUAAAUGUACCUCAUCCCCUUGCAUCACCCUAAAGGCAGUAUAAAGUUUGCCAGUGAGAAUCCAACCAAACAUGAGUCGGAAACCUCGUCUCAUUAUUUGUACAGAUACUUACUGAGAUAAAAGAGAUCAUAAAGCACUUUGAGGUCUGCAAACUGCCUGAUGCUGCAGCAAGAGCAAUCCUUUCCUACCAUCUCCUGUGUGACUUGGAAGGCUCUCAGCAAGCCCAGCUGUGCGUAGCUCUAUAAAAAGCAGUCAGGAGCAGCAUAUUUAGAGAAAAACCAGCAUGUGCUACCAUUGUCAAGAGCUGAUUAAGUUUUUUUGUUUCCCUUAGAGCAUUUCAGAAGACCAAAGUAUUUUUUUUCGUGGAGAAAAAAAAAUGAAAUGAGAAACCACAACUUUGGGAUCUCCAAAGGCAACUGAAAAUUUGGAUGAUGCCGGGCUAUGGGAUGGAAUAAGCUGCUCUUUCUACACAUGGAUAUGUUCUGGGAAGAAAGGUGACUUUUUCUCCUUACGCGUCACCAAAGACUCACCCUGAUUUGGGGUUGUCAGGUACUGGGGAGAAAUGCAAUUUAUUCUGAAGAUGAGACAGUCUCUCUUGGGUUUUAUAACUUUCUGCGCUAGUAGAGUUGGUUACUAUGUGUACCAUUAUCUCCUUCUUUGGCAGACAAAGAUUGCAGAAGAUGACAACAAUAAUUUAGAUAGCUUAACAUUAAAAAAAAAAAAAAGCUUUUCUAGAUCCUAAUUUACUUGUUAAUUAUUAAACUUCAACCCUGCAGAGUGAUAUUUUCCAUUCCAGAGGUUUGUUUCAGAGUGGAGUGUCAAAAGUCAAAUGACAAAUGUUUUGCUGAAUCUGUAGUUAGGAAACUUGCUAUUUCUGCCAAUGUGAAAAAGACUCAGAGAGGAGGGAGGAUGAUGCCAUUGGCCUGGAGCAUGGAGGUGGCAGCAGGGUCAGUGGUCUGGCAAUAGCUGAACUGCAACUGAGGCAGUGGAAGCUGGACUAGAGGAGCCAGCACUGACUCUGAGGCUCUCCAUUUCUUUUCUGUUGGCCAGCAUGUGGCUCUGACAUAGAGUUUUGCCCUUCCUUGGGAUGUAGCCAUGUUGGCAGCCUUGGUGAUGCUGCAGAGCCUAGCAGUCCCAUGACACUGAGGGCCCUCUCCAGACACGGCCUAUGGUGUCCGUGUUGGCCCUGGGCAGCUUAGUGGAGGUGCCUUUAAAUCCCACAGGCCCUGGUGACAGCUAAUAUUUGGGCCAAUCUGGGAGGGCUGGGUGUUGGUCCACCUACAUCAGUCAUUUAUCAACUCAUGGGACGUGCCCACAGUGUGAGGGCCUGCACACGUGCAACCAUGUGGUUGUGGACUCUGAAGCCUGGGGCUUUCUUACCAAAAAGUGUGUGUAUUAAACAUGAGGCUGGUGUGUCCACGUGCAGAGCAGACAGGGUGCUUCAGGGCCAGUACUCUGAUGCUGUCUUUGAAGGUAGGUGACAUGGACAGCCUGACCUAGCUGUGGAUGUUGCUGUUCAUUGCAGAGGAGUUGGACUAGGUGGCCUUCAGAGGUCCUUUCCAACUCUAAAGAUUCUAUGAUUCUAUGACAAAUGAGUUUGUUCCUGGGUGAGCCUUGGGGCUGCUCUCCUGCAGCCCCAUGGAUGGAUCUUUGGAGGAUACAGGGCAACUACUUUAUUAGGUUCGGUGGUCUAUGUCUUCACCAUAGAUUUAAUGCUGUAGGAAAACAGAGAGAAGCCCCAGCAGUGGCUUUAACAGCCUGCACUGACCUGGGCCUGCCAGAAAGCCUGCAGUAAUGUUCCAUCCAGCGUCAGCAGCUCCACUCCUGAGAGGCACUGCGGUCCUCCAGACCUGCCCAGCUCUCUCUGAACUGACAUGACUCUAUGCUGAACCCUCGGGGUUGGUAAUAGCCAGCAGGACUUUAUUUAAUGACUGAAAAUACCACUCCUGCAAGGGAGAACCACCCAUACGCAUUCAGAGGUGCCUAUUGUGCCUUCAGGCAAAAUCCAAGGCAGCGCGAGCUGCACAUGUACCCUCAGUGACUAAAUAAGGGAGAAAGCUCUGCACAGGAGGGCUGCUCUGAAGAAGUGCUUUCACCGCUGAAAAUUGCAGUUCCUCAGGAAACAAAGUGGUAAGCACAUGAGUUAUAAAGGUCACAUGAAGCUCUCCAUAACAGACUCUGUGACAGGAGGUUGUAGCAAGGUGGCAGUCAGCCUCUUCUCCCAGGUAACAGUGAUAGGAUGAGAGAUAAUAACCUUAAGUUGCAGCAGGAGAGGUUCAGGUUGGAUAUUAGGAAACAUUUAUUUUCCAGAAGAGUGGUCAUGCAACGGAACAGGCUGCCCAGGGAUGUAGUGGAGUCACUGUCCCUGGAGGUGUCCCGGAACCGUGUGGAUGUGGCACUGAGAGACAUGGUCAGUGGGCAUGGUGGGGAUGGGUUGAGGCUGGACUUGGUGAUCUUAGAGUUCUUUUUCAACCUUAAUGGUUCUAUGAAUUCUAUGAUUCUAACAGUGUUCUCGAGAAUGGAAACUAAGAAAUAAAUGAGUGGCAAGAGUCCUACCUAAAGCGAAGGUCUUUACAAGUAUUACCCAGGGAAUUCCCCCUAAUUAUUGAACAUCACUCAGCUACUUGAGCCUUACAAUGGUGUUGCUGGAAUAAGCCUCAAAAACAAGAGCAAACUACUACUACGUGGUUUUCUGAGUCUUGCAAAUGAAGUUUCACAGUCCCAGUGCUGAGAUUCAUCUUAUAAUGCUUUGGCAUGCCUUCUACUAUCUAGAUACUUGUGCUCCAUCUAGUGAAUAAAUUUAUUGCUCAUCCUGGAUCAGCUUUGGCUGUGGAGAGGUCCUGGGGAAAAGAAAUGCAAUUUAUGAAUUUGACCUAUGCAAAAAUGGGAAUUACCCAGGAAGAUUCUAAGUCCGAUUUUACUGGAAGGGUAAGAAUGACAGUGAUUGUAGCUUCCAGCUGCUCAUUGACAUGUCUUUAAAUUCUUCUUAGAAGACUUGAGGGUUUUUCUUAAUGAAGUUUCCCAUGAAAAUCUAUUUGUUUUUAUAUUCAGUGGGCGGAUUUACUUGUUAUGUGAAGCAAAUGAAGGGGAAGAGGUAAAAUGAGAAAAGCUGGUUCAAGUACAUUAACUGUAUCUGUUACAACCCAUUUUUACUGUUCUUGUUCAGCAGCCAAAACACAUUCCUCUUUUAUAAAAGAAGGAACACAGGGGCACCAGCUCACAGAUCUUUAAUGCAAUAAAGUUGUCUGGAGAUGUAUGUGAGGGGCCCCAUGCUGCUGGGCACUGAUGAGAGAAGAGGAGAGACUCAGAGUGCCAGCAUGGAGACACUCCAGACCUGCUCUGGUGUCUGCUGAAGACCCUAAGAGACUCAGAGAGGUCUGGGUUUUCUCCUUCCUUCUUCCUUCCUGCUGUCCUUCUGCCUCUCAGACUGCCUUGCCUAACCUUUGCCAGACAUAUCUUAGAAUCACAGAAUUGUUUGAGUUGGAAUGGACCCUUAAAGGCCAUCUGAUUCAAAGCCCUGCAGUGAAGAGGGACACCCACAGGUAGAUCAGGUUGCUCAGAGCCUCAUCCAGCCUGACCUUGAGUCUCCAGGGAUGGGGCAUCCACCACCUCUCUGGGCAACCUCUUCCAGUACCUCACCACUCUUACUGUAAAAAACUUUGCCCUUAUAUCCAAUCUAAAUCUCCCCUCUCUUAGUCUGAAACCACUUCCCCUUGUUAUAGCACAGCAGACCUUGCUAAAGAAUCUGCCCCCUUCCUUCUUAAAGCCUCCCUUUAGAUACUGAAAGGCCACUGGCAGGUCUCCCUGGAACCUUCUCUUCUCCAGGCUGAACAGUGUGGUAUCUCAUGCCAUGUUCCACCUUUUCUUUUUCUCUGUUUCCAUAUUGAAACUGUGAGCGGGAAGUCGACACAAGGGGCCAUGAAAAGAAAGGCCAUGGUAUUUUUUGCUGAGAAUGUGUUUUUGGGGUCCUGUUUGAUACUCAUGAAAGAAAAUUGCUCUUUUCAGUUUUCCAACUCUGGGCCAGACCCAGGGGCUAGCAGACCCCAUAGUUGUACCCCACAGCCUGAUCUGCACCGGACACCUUCCUCUUGCUGCCGCUUUUGUCUUAAACCAGGCUCCCGUGUCAUGGUCCUGCUGGGUGUUGAAGCCUUCUAUCUGCCCCAAUGGCCCAGGAUGAUGGCCAUGGUUGGUGAGGUGGCUGGUGGUUGCCCAAAAGUGCUGUGGGGCUCACCCUCCGCCACCUCUCUCCUUAGCCCCUGGCCAUGCACGAUCAGACUGGAAGCAGCACAACUGAGAGCCAUUUGCUCUGUCUGAGUGUGCACGUGUUUUACGGAGUGGUGACAACAUGAUGUACACAUUUCAACCAGAUGUGAUGGCUGUGUAGCAUAGUAGCACCAGGGACGCUCGACUGCGCAGGGCUGGAAGCAGUGGCACAGGAAGUCUGGUCCCAUAUUUACCUUUCCCUGCAGCUAUGUCCUGGGGUAAGGAGGAUGGAGCUGGGCCACUGCUGGCAUGGGAGACUCCCUGGGCACACUGAGCUGAAGGAAACAAGUCAGUCCAGGGCACAGUUUUGUGCCUUCUUUAUCUCUAUUGACUCUAACUGGGUGCUAAAACCCUGCUUUCCAUAGCAGAGAUGAAAAUAAGAUCUUGACAAUAAAUGCUGUAUGAUGAC